UUGAACACACCAUGUAAACAUUCACAGUGCAGGUGGAAUACUUUUUCCACCUGCACUGUGAAUGUUUACAUGGUGUGUUCAA